GCUUACACAUGCAAGUCGAACGAUGAAGCCCUUCGGGGUGGAUUAGUGGCGAACGGGUGAGUAACACGUGGGCAAUCUGCCCUGCACUCUGGGACAAGCCCUGGAAACGGGGUCUAAUACCGGAUACUGAUCGCCUUGGGCAUCCUUGGUGAUCGAAAGCUCCGGCGGUGCAGGAUGAGCCCGCGGCCUAUCAGCUUGUUGGUGAGGUAAUGGCUCACCAAGGCGACGACGGGUAGCCGGCCUGAGAGGGCGACCGGCCACACUGGGACUGAGACACGGCCCAGACUCCUACGGGAGGCAGCAGUGGGGAAUAUUGCACAAUGGGCGAAAGCCUGAUGCAGCGACGCCGCGUGAGGGAUGACGGCCUUCGGGUUGUAAACCUCUUUCAGCAGGGAAGAAGCGAAAGUGACGGUACCUGCAGAAGAAGCGCCGGCUAACUACGUGCCAGCAGCCGCGGUAAUACGUAGGGCGCGAGCGUUGUCCGGAAUUAUUGGGCGUAAAGAGCUCGUAGGCGGCUUGUCGCGUCGGUUGUGAAAGCCCGGGGCUUAACCCCGGGUCUGCAGUCGAUACGGGCAGGCUAGAGUUCGGUAG
rnacentral:rRNA from 1 species